ACCUGAAUAGCUCAGUCGGUAGAGUAUGAGACUCUUAAUCUCAUGGUUGUAGGUUCGUGCCCCACAUUGGGGG
rnacentral:tRNA from 1 species